GCAGAGUAGCUGCAGACGCGUUAAGUGCUCAUGAACGGGGAGUUGUCAUGAGACGAAGCCGGGUUCCCGGCGCGGUGCCUGCGGCGCAUCCCGCUGC
rnacentral:ncRNA from 1 species